rnacentral:snRNA from 1 species
AUGUUUGCUUCAUCAGCAUGUAUUUUAGAACUGGUAGGAUACAGAGAGGGUUCGCUUGGCCCCUGCGCAAAAACAUGUCAUUUAUUUUGCUAAGAGAGAGAGAAAUUGAGA